rnacentral:tRNA from 1 species
GGACAGGUGGCUGAGUGGCCGAAAGCACCGGAUUACUAAUCCGGCGAACCGAGAGGUUCCGUGGGUUCGAAUCCCACCCUGUCUGCCA